UUCCGUUGUGAAUGAAAGACCUUAUUGGCGAAGGAUGCACCAGUUGAUGUUGUGGCUCACAACUUAAACUUUUUGUAACUCUGUAGUUUUGUGACUUGUAAUGGCCAUAAUAUUGAUAUGAAUGAAUAACUGGUAACGUUGCAAUGAUCAAAAAUGUAUCCAUUUCUACAGAUAAAUACAUUGUAUAAUUCCGAGUUGAUUUGCUUUCAAUAGCACUCGUCCAGAGUGCAACCUUAACAACAAAAUUGGGGAAUCACCCACCUUUAGAGCUUAUUUAUUUGUUGCACUACUCG
rnacentral:lncRNA from 1 species